rnacentral:rRNA from 1 species
UACAGAGGUCUCAAGCGUUGUUCGGAUUCAUUGGGCGUAAAGGGUGCGUAGGCUGUGCGGAAAGUUGGGUGUGAAAUACCUCAGCUUAACUGAGGAACUGCGCUCAAAACUACCGUGCUCGAGGGAGACAGAGGUGAGCGGAACUUAGGGUGGAGCGGUGAAAUGCGUUGAUAUCCUAAGGAACACCGGUGGCGAAAGCGGCUCACUGGAUCUCUUCUGACGCUGAGGCACGAAAGCUAGGGUAGCGAACGGG